UACAGAGGUCUCAAGCGUUGUUCGGAUUCAUUGGGCGUAAAGGGUGCGUAGGCGGCGCGGUAAGUCGGGUGUGAAAUCUCGGGGCUUAACUCCGAAACUGCAUUCGAUACUGCCGUGCUUGAGGACUGGAGAGGAGACUGGAAUUUACGGUGUAGCGGUGAAAUGCGUAGAUAUCGUAAGGAACACCUGUGGCGAAAGCGGCGCACUGGACCAUAACUGACGCUGAGGCGCGAAAGCUAGGGGAGCAAACAGG
rnacentral:rRNA from 1 species